GCCUCCCUGGCGCAAUGGAAGCGCAUUCGGCUUCGAACCGAAAGGUUGUGGGUUCAAGCCCCACGGGUGGCG